AGUGCCAAACACUCCUUCAGAGUGCUGAAGACUCACUGGGUGACAAAACCCGACAGCAGUUCCUCAACACAGGCACAAGGAACGCAGUUGGGGAAGCCACUUCCAAAGCAUCGCCCCCCAUCCCAGACCCAGGAUAUCAUCUAUGCUGACCUGAAGAAGGAAACUCUACAGAGUCAGGAGGAAACUGAAUCUGAAUUCUGACGGCAUCGUCUAUGUCACAACUGUCACACACUAGUCCAGAAUGUCUAGGAUCUAAGGCUCAUGUGUCUUUUGGACGGAAGCGGAGUCUAAUAAUGGGGAUUUUUCUAAUAGUAUGGAGGAGUGUUGAAGAACUCCUUUGGGUCUGGCAGCUAGAUUUCCAAGUUCUUCAUGAUUGGGACAUUGAAUGCAAUUGAACUCAUUUCUAGCUCUUUUCCUUGAAAUAGUAAUGUAGUCAGCCUGACAAUG